rnacentral:rRNA from 1 species
UACGAGGGGUGCAAACGUUAUUCGGAUUUAUUGGGCGUAAAGGGUUUGUAGACGGCAAGCUAAGUCAGUUGUUAAAUCUCCCGGCUUAACCGGGAUCCAGCGACAGAUACUGGCAUGCUAGAGGAUGGAAGAGAGAAGUGGAAUUCUUGGAGUAGCGAUAAAAUGCGUAGAUCUCAAGAGGAACACCGAUGGCGAAGGCAGCUUCUUGGUCCAUUCCUGACGUUGAUAAACGAAAGCGUGGGGAGCAAACAGG